UACGGAGGAUCCAAGCGUUAUUCGGAGUGACUGGGCGUAAAGAGUUGUGUAGGGGGUUUGUUAAGCAAAUCGUGAAAUCUUGUGGCUCAACCAUAAGGCUAUUAUUUGAACUGGCAGACUUGAGAAUAUGAGAGGUAGAUGGAAUUCCCAGUGUAGGAGUGAAAUCCGUAGAUAUUGGGAGGAACACCAAUGGCGUAGGCAGUCUACUGGCAUAUUUCUGACCCUGAGGCACGAAAGCGUGGGGAGCGAACCGG
rnacentral:rRNA from 1 species